rnacentral:rRNA from 1 species
GAUGAACGCUGGCGGCGUGCCUAAUACAUGCAAGUCGAGCGAACGGACGAGAAGCUUGCUUCUCUGAUGUUAGCGGCGGACGGGUGAGUAACACGUGGAUAACCUACCUAUAAGACUGGGAUAACUUCGGGAAACCGGAGCUAAUACCGGAUAAUAUUUAGAACCGCAUGGUUCAAAAGUGAAAGACGGUCUUGCUGUCACUUAUAGAUGGAUCCGCGCUGCAUUAGCUAGUUGGUAAGGUAACGGCUUACCAAGGCAACGAUGCAUAGCCGACCUGAGAGGGUGAUCGGCCACACUGGAACUGAGACACGGUCCAGACUCCUACGGGAGGCAGCAGUAGGGAAUCUUCCGCAAUGGGCGAAAGCCUGACGGAGCAACGCCGCGUGAGUGAUGAAGGUCUUCGGAUCGUAAAACUCUGUUAUUAGGGAAGAACAUAUGCGUAAGUAACUGUGCACAUCUUGACGGUACCUAAUCAGAAAGCCACGGCUAACUACGUG